rnacentral:misc_RNA from 1 species
AGAUCAACAGUACAGCCGGAGGUGGCGGCAGCGUAGAAGAGCCUGCUGGAAAAACUUCAGCGAUCACAAGCCAUCCGAACCCUGCAUCUGACCAGGUGACGAUCACUUACAACGUGAAGGAAAAAAGUCGCGUGAUGCUAAGUUUGUACAACACAGCAAACAACACCUCACAGAAAUUAGUGGAUGAAGAACGCAG